CUUGUACUCCCUCCGUCCGAAAAUACUUGUCAUUGAAAUGGAUGUAUUUAUAUGUAUUUUAGUUCUAGACACAUCCAUUUUGAUGACAAGUAAUUCCGGACGGAGGGAGUACUUG
rnacentral:pre_miRNA from 1 species